AGUGAACGCUGGCGGUAGGCCUAACACAUGCAAGUCGAACGGCAGCACAGUAAGAGCUUGCUCUUACGGGUGGCGAGUGGCGGACGGGUGAGGAAUACAUCGGAAUCUACUUUUUCGUGGGGGAUAACGUAGGGAAACUUACGCUAAUACCGCAUACGACCUACGGGUGAAAGCAGGGGAUCUUCGGACCUUGCGCGAUUGAAUGAGCCGAUGUCGGAUUAGCUAGUUGGCGGGGUAAAGGCCCACCAAGGCGACGAUCCGUAGCUGGUCUGAGAGGAUGAUCAGCCACACUGGAACUGAGACACGGUCCAGACUCCUACGGGAGGCAGCAGUCGGGAAUAUUGGACAAUGGGCGCAAUCCUGAUCCAGCCAUACCGCGUGGGUGAAGAAGGCCUUCGGGUUGUAAAGCCCUUUUGUUGGGAAAGAAAAGCAGCAGGUUAAUACCCCGCUGUUCUGACGGUACCCAAAGAAUAAGCACCGGCUAACUUCGUG
rnacentral:rRNA from 1 species